AUAAUAAAAAAAGUAAUAUUUCAUAGAAAAUGGGAUUAAAAAAUGACAAUUAUAUAUAAAUAUACAUAUGACAAUUGUUCAAUUAUAUACAUAUAAUUAAAAGGAGAUAUUACUGUUACAGCCUAGCGAUCACAUAGUGUACUGGAAUCAGGUUAUCAUGCCCCGGAAACAAAAUUGAAUGCAAAGUAUUUUUUCAACAAUUGCAACACAAGGCAAACUAGAAAACCAGAAUACCUAAACAUAUUCCGAAAACUUCGCAGAAUUGCGCCAAGCAAUGGCUUCGCGCAAUCGCUAUAUAGACAUAAAAACCGACACUCAAAUGCAGUUUCUGAGUGCAACAUAACUAAACAAAAGAAAACUAUAAAAAAUGUGCGGAAAAAACAACGUUGGUGAAACCAUAAGAAGUAUACACAAGCGAGAAUUAAAAGUCCUAAAUAUAUUGUGCAAAGAAGGGAAACAUGAACCCGUGUGAAGAGACGUACCGCGACAGACGAAAAGUGUUCAAGUUGCGAACAGCUUGUAAACGCAUCCUUUUCGAGGCUCGUGAAUGACAGUUGUGGCCAUACCAAGUGCCGAAUGUGCCUGCUGUAGGAGGAGCAUGGACGCAAAAUCUGUCAGACUGAACUCUGCGUAACAGUAAGAGAAGAAUGUUACAUCGCGAACGCAGAUUUGAAUGAAGCAAAAAAGUCACCAGGUGAGGAGAUUGUGCUGCCGUUAGAAAUGGUCAAAAAUAAGGAUUCUAAAUCUAAGCAAGAUUGUUCGCCGCAAGUGAAUCGUCUGAUAUUUAUGAGAUCACCACUUUUGGUUCUACAAAGAGUCCUACAAAUUUGUAACAAAUAGUGCAGCCAAUAGUGAUAAAUUCAGUCAAACGAACAAUCCAAGAAUAGAGUCCUACGAUGUAGCGUUGAGCAUUCAGAGCCACUUAGAAAGCGACAGUAAGCGUGAUUUAAAGGAUCUGCAGAAUCCGCAUGUAAAAAAUGUAGAUAUCAAUCUAAUCUUUUAAGAUAUUUAUAAUUAUGUUAUACAUUUUAUUUUUAUAUUGACGAUACUUUAAUAACACAUAAUCAAGUAGAUUUAAUAACUACAUCUUAAUUAUUGUACUUAUUGUUCACAUUUUCGGGAAAGAGACGUUAUAGAAAAUAACUAUUUUGUAGAAUUAUUGUUAUUGAAAAAAAAUUAAAUCUAACUAUCGCAUAUCAA